UACGUAGGGAGCAAGCGUUGUUCGGAAUCACUGGGCGUAAAGGGAGCGUAGGUGGGAGGAUAAGUUAGAAGUUAAAUGUGCGGGCUUAACCCGUAAUCUGCUUUUAAUACUGUCCUUCUUGAGUAUGGGAGAGGUUAACGGAAUUCCAGGUGUAGCGGUGGAAUGCGUAGAUAUCUGGAGGAACACCGAUGGCGAAGGCAGCCCCCUGGCCGAUACUGACGCUCAUGCACGAAA
rnacentral:rRNA from 1 species